rnacentral:rRNA from 1 species
UGGGGGGUAUUGCACAAUGGAGGAAACUCUGAUGCAGCAACGCCGCGUGAAGGAUGAAGGUCUUCGGAUUGUAAACUUUUGUACUGGGGACGAUAAUGACGGUACCCAAGCAGCAAGCUCCGGCUAACUACGUGCCAGCAGCCGCGGUAAUACGUAGGGAGCAAGCGUUGUCCGGAUUUACUGGGUGUAAAGGGUGCGUAGGC